rnacentral:rRNA from 1 species
CGAAUGCUGACAUAAGUAACGAUAAUGCGGGUGAAAAACCCGCACGCCGGAAGACCAAGGGUUCCUGUCCAACGUUAAUCGGGGCAGGGUGAGUCGACCCCUAAGGCGAGGCCGAAAGGCGUAGUCGAUGGGAAACAGGUUAAUAUUCCUGUACUUGGUGUUACUGCGAAGGGGGGACGGAGAAGGCUAUGUUAGCCGGGCGACGGUUGUCCCGGUUUAAGCAUGUAGGCGGAGGUUCCAGGUAAAUCCGGUACCUUUUUAACGCUGAGGUGUGAUGACGAGGCACUACGGUGCUGAAGUAACAAAUGCCCUGCUUCCAGGAAAAGCCUCUAAGCAUCAGGUAACACGAAAUCGUACCCCAAACCGACACAGGUGGUCAGGUAGAGAAUACCAAGGCGCUUGAGAGAACUCGGGUGAAGGAACUAGGCAAAAUGGUGCCGUAACUUCGGGAGAAGGCACGCUGAUAUGUAGGUGAAGUGAUUUACUCAUGGAGCUGAAAUCAGUCGAAGAUACCAGCUGGCUGCAACUGUUUAUUAAAAACACAGCACUGUGCAAACACGAAAGUGGACGUAUACGGUGUGACGCCUGCCCGGUGCCGGAAGGUUAAUUGAUGGGGUUAUCCGUAAGGAGAAGCUCUUGAUCGAAGCCCCGGUAAACGGCGGCCGUAACUAUAACGGUCCUAAGGUAGCGAAAUUCCUUGUCGGGUAAGUUCCGACCUGCACGAAUGGCGUAAUGAUGGCCAGGCUGUCUCCACCCGAGACUCAGUGAAAUUGAACUCGCUGUGAAGAUGCAGUGUACCCGCGGCAAGACGGAAAGACCCCGUGAACCUUUACUAUAGCUUGACACUGAACACUGGUCCUUGAUGUGUAGGAUAGGUGGGAGGCUUUGAAGUGUGGACGCCAGUCUGCAUGGAGCCAUCCUUGAAAUACCACCCUUUAAUGGCUGGUGUUCUAACGUGGACCCGUUACCCGGGUUGCGGACAGUGUCUGGUGGGUAGUUUGACUGGGGCGGUCUCCUCCUAAAGAGUAACGGAGGAGCACGAAGGUUAGCUAAUCCUGGUCGGACAUCAGGAGGUUAGUGCAAAGGCAUAAGCUAGCUUGACUGCGAGAGUGACGGCUCGAGCAGGUGCGAAAGCAGGUCUUAGUGAUCCGGUGGUUCUGAAUGGAAGGGCCAUCGCUCAACGGAUAAAAGGUACUCCGGGGAUAACAGGCUGAUACCGCCCAAGAGUUCAUAUCGACGGCGGUGUUUGGCACCUCGAUGUCGGCUCAUCACAUCCUGGGGCUGAAGUAGGUCCCAAGGGUAUGGCUGUUCGCCAUUUAAAGUGGUACGCGAGCUGGGUUUAGAACGUCGUGAGACAGUUCGGUCCCUAUCUGCCGUGGGCGCUGGAGAAUUGAGGGGGGCUGCUCCUAGUACGAGAGGACCGGAGUGGACGCAUCACUGGUGUUCGGGUUGUCAUGCCAAUGGCAUUGCCCGGUAGCUAAAUGCGGAAGAGAUAAGUGCUGAAAGCAUCUAAGCACGAAACUUGC